rnacentral:lncRNA from 1 species
AAUAGGCAGAAAGGAGAACUGAAGGAGAAGUCUAGAGAAGCCAGCUACACCUACAUUAGAAAGAGUGGAACAGAUCACGGGUCACAGGAUUAAGGCUAGAUGGGGUUUGAGAUGUGGGAAGACUUGAGGUCAUUUUGAGUUUUGAGAAAAGGAGAGACAUGAAGAGGCAGAAAACAUGUUUACUGGACCCAGCUACUUUGCAGUGAUUAGUGGGACCUUCAGAACAUAAAUAGAUCCUAAGGAGUGAAUGCUUGUACCCCUUCCAAAAUUUAUAUGCUGAAGCCUUUAUAUGGUUGUAUGUAAAGACAGACCCACUAAUGAAGUAAUUAAGGUUAAAUGGAGUCAUAAGAGAGAGGCCCUAAUUCCAUAAGAUUAGUGUCCUUAUAAGAAGAGACUCCAGAGAACUCACUUUCUCACUCUCUCCCUCCCUUUCCUUGCAUACAAACCAAGGGAAAAUCAUAUGAGAACAUAGCAAGAAGGUAGCUGUCUGAAAGCCAGGAAGAGAGGCCUCAGCAGGAAAUGAAUCAGCAAGAACCUUGAUCUUGGACUUCUAGCCUCCAGAAUUGUUCUUGAAAAAUGUCGAGUUGAUUUCUCAGAUGUUUUACUCACCGAUAAUAUGUGCUUUAUCCACGUCAGUGCACUUUUGCCAUAAAUUAUUGUUGUUAUCACUAUUAUUAUUUUACUUUGCCAAUCUGAAAUCCGUCCUGGAAUUUGGCACAUGUAUGGGAUAUGGAUAGAAAAUAAGAGCAAAGAGGAAUUCAAGAUAAUGAGGCAAUAUAAACAAAAGUUGAAAAGAGAAAAUGAGCAUGCAGUGCCUAGAGAUGCCAAGGAAUCCAGAUCACUGAGGUCGGAUAGAUGUGUCUUUCCAGAAUUUGAUGAGGUUAACCAGGUAGAGCCAGAUGGUAGAGAUCCUUGAAUACCAGGCAAGGGAGUUCAUCUCUCCACCUGUAAGCAUGAAGGAGCCACGGGAGAUUUUGCAAAGGGAAUGACCAAAACGAAAAUGGCAUUUAGGAAAUGAGUUUGCCAGAAGUACCUGGGAGAAAUGGGGACUAGGCACUGAGAAUGUAAUUCAUAGCACAGCAGAACAGAUACUAAAAGAUCGUUCUGGAAGCAGAAGGGCUGGUUUCCAGCUUUUCUGAGGUUGUUUCACUGUGGGUAACUGCUAAGGCCUUCACCCUUGAUGCCAGAGGUGCUGAAACACAUUGCCACACGGCGAAAGAAGUGCCCUAUUGGCCCAAACACAUUGAAUAAACAUCUACCUCAAACCUU